CCUGAGAUGGGCUUCGAGGUCCCUUCCAAGCCAGACCGUGCCGUGAUUCCGGGACUUGUUGCUGCAGCCCUGCAGCCGGGGGUUCGUUUCCAGGUGGCAGGAGGAUGGUUUGCCUUAGGGAUUCCCUAAAAACAGUAAAACAACCAGGAGAGGGAAGGGGGAUGGAGGAGACUGUGUGCUCACGCUGCUGGGCUGGGAAUGCUCAUUGCCGGCAGAUUUUUCUUCUCUGCUUCUCUCAGUUGCCUUCAGUGGGAAGCAGGUGCAAGUCCUGCCUUCCCUGCUGGAUAAACCCUGGAUAAUAUGGAGGAUAAUCCCUGCAAUAAACACUGUGGCUCUGCUUAGUCAGCACAAAGCACUUUUGGGGGAUUUUAAUGUGGAUUUUAAUGCUUUAGGAAUUGUGAUGCUGGGUUUUCUUUCUCUGAUGAAUAUCACAAGUAUGGUACAAAUACCUGCAGUUCCAGGAGUGCUUGGGUUGAUUUCUGGUGGGGAGAAGCAGGGAAGCUGUGCAUGGAGCAUGGAUGUUAUUCCAAGAUUGCAGCUGGAAUGGGAGAUGCUGAAACGCUGCCUGGGCCCAUGGCAAUGCUUGUGCCACCCCUCUGUGCCCAGAAAGCACCCAGAGCACCAGGACACAGAGCUCCAGCUGGAUGGGAGGCAGCCAGGCUGCUGCUCUGGGUCUUGCCAAGCUUUUAUGGAGCUUUGCAUUUGUUUUAUGGAGGAUAUCAACAGCUCUGUGUGUCCAAACCUGUUUGCUCACAGCCUGCAAAGGAGCUGUUCCUCACUGCAUAGAUGGGGUUAAAUCUGUGAAAAAAGUGCAUCUCCUUUUUUAUUUCUUAUCUGUUGCAACAUCUCGCUCCAAUUUUGCUUUUCCCCUCCGGAGCAGUGACUGGAGUGGUGCAACUCUGCUUCCUUUGAUGCGAUCUAAGGGAGAUGCCCUUGCACAAGAGUUUGGUCCCAUUUUCCAGCAAUACCUGUCAUAGCUGUGACAGUAUUCACCUCCUCACGUUGCACACAACCCAAGCUGCUACUUUCAGCUGCCUCAGAAAUGACUCAGAGCAAAGCAAAGAAGUCUGAGUAAAAUAAGGGCUACAACUGAAAGUAAAUCUUAUUUUAGAGCCCAGACAUCUCAGUUAUUUUGUUGGUAGAUUGAUGUGUUUACACAACCUCCUGAACUUGGAAGCCUUCAAAGGAUGCAGAUGAUGUCCCAAAUCUCACAAGGAACUGAGGUUUGUCACCAGGAGCAAAUGCAAAACCUCUCUGAAAUAUUCUGGAACAGUUCUUUAAGAACUCUCAGUUUUUAAGUGUUUGUAAUUUAAACCUGCUGCUGCUCUCUAGUCCCAAAUUUGAGGUUUUGGUUGGGAAUAGUUCUGUUCAAAACCCUGUUCCUAAAUUAUACUUACACUCAAAAUAGAGGGAAAGGUUUCCCUUUUUCCCUUUCCCUGGGAUUCAGUUUGCCAUUUUCCCAUCUCCUCUAGCAGAGCUGCUCACCUGUUCUGCCCCAAGGCACAAAUCCUGGCACAGGGGGAGGACCCAGAGCCCAAACCAUGCCCAGCCCAGGAAAGCUGGGAAGGAAGGGAUCUGUACCUAAACUGCAAGGAGCAGCUGGUUACAUAAGGAAACAACUGAGGAAACUUCAGGGGAGGGAAGAACAGGAAAAUUGUUGAAAAAUUAAUUUAGCCUUGGAAGAAAAUGGGACAGAGCUGCUCCAGGAAUGUUGUUGGUACAGAGAAGCUGCAUGUCCUCCUUUCCCUGUGCCUGAGUAAGGAGGGGAUUGGGCACUGAUAAAUCAGCCAGGCUGC
rnacentral:lncRNA from 1 species